rnacentral:sRNA from 1 species
AGGUGGACUAGCAGAAAGACUAAAUGGACUGCAGAAUCGAGAGAGAUCUGCUAUUUCUUUGUGGAGACAUCAAUGUAUUUCUUACCAAAAGACACUUUCAGGCUUUGGUAUCAGGAUGAUGCUAGCCUCAUAAAAUGAGUGAGGGAGGAUUCCCUCUUUUUCUGUUGAUUGGAAUAGUUUCAGAAGGAAAGAUACCAGCUCCUCCUUGUAUCUCUGGUAGAAUUCGGCUGUGAAUCCAUCUGGUCCUGGACUUUUUUUGUUUGGUAA